GGGUUUAUAAAGGUAAAAGCAUAGCAUAGAUGUAGGGGGUUGACACGGGGUAGGACAAGCAACAAACAAGUUAAGCAAGCCAUUUACAGAAGCAGAAUUUUGGGGUCAGGUUGACCUAAUAAUCAAGAUGGAGUCAGCUCUACUCCCCCCAACAUUUCCUACCAUGUUUCCCUAGUCAAGUUGGAGUCGGCUCUACUUCCUACAACA